AGGAGCCGAACUGGUGCUGCUGGGAGUGCUGAUGGCACCCACAGCCUCGCUCCGGCACAGGGACUCGGAUCAGGCACCCGGGAUUCCCGAGCUGGCCCCCCCCGGCUCGGCGCUUUGCACCCCAAGGAACCCAUCCCAAAGCCACUCCGCCUUUCCCACAUUUCUCCAUCCCGUGGAGACACUCACCGGAUCCACGGCUCCUUCCCCACAUCCUCUGGAGCGUCUGAGAUGGGGAGGGGGAACAUCCAGGCCUGGAGACAGGGAAUCACCUAUGGAGGAAGCAGCACUGGGAAUGCUGGAAGCAGGAGAAGAGAGGGAUUUCUGCCCCUUGGCUCCCAGCUCCCUUGGCUGGGGCUCCAGGGAUCACAAACCUCCAAAUGAACCCAGGAACUGCGGAAUUCUGGCGGCGGCAGAGC